CUGAGUUACCGCUCAUCAGCCCUUUGUGAACAUACCUUAACUGUUGCUUCGGCGGGUAGGCGUCCCUAAAAAGGACGUCUCCCGGCCCUCUCCCGUCCGCGGGUGGGGCGCCCGCCGGAGGAUAACCAAACUCUGAUUUAACGACGUUUCUUCUGAGUGACACAAGCAAAUAAUCA
rnacentral:misc_RNA from 1 species